GUUCUACCCCCCUACUCUGCCUCUCGCCACUGCCGCAACGGCCGGCCCCUCCCCUGCCUCGCCGCUGCUCACCGGAAGCCAAGCGAGCAUGUUGGCAUGUGCUUUUCAUCAUUCUGCCGGCAUGUAGAAGCUCAUCAUUUAUACUUGCUGAACUACUUGCAUUGGGGUGCACCGAAGAUGUGGUAUGAAGUUCCAGGAUAGGAUGCUGUGAAUCUGAAGUCUGCAUCGAGGAGACAUCUACUUGACUUGUUUGAGAUCAACCUGAUUUGCUUCACAACCUGGAUCAGUUAUGAUGAUGAACUGAAGAAGCAGCACCUAAUGCUUCUCCACAAUGGAUUGUACCGUCUUAUCACGGGCGAGGCUUCAAAUGUUCAGUUUAUGCCUGAGUGCUUAUGGUACAUAUUCCACUAUGUAAGGAACAUUUCCAGAAGCAGAGGAUAGAGAAUUGAAUGGGUUCCUCAGAGCCUACACCUUACUAGGUCAAUCCGAUAGCCUACCUCAGGAAUCUGGGGUGGACCAUAACAUCCAAGUUUCGCCUCCACUCAUCAAAUCUCAUUGAGAAGUAUAAAUCACUGUGACCUGUUUAACAUCUGACGAGUUGAAGUGCAAGAGGAAAGCUUGUACAGUUCUUUUUUGGGUUGUUGUAGCCUUAGCUUUUUUCCUGUCUUUCUGUCGGGAUUUCUGUCGUUAUUUCGACACUCUUAUAUGUUUGAGAUCAAGCCGUGUUGGGCUGAGCUUUGUGUGGCAGCAUAGUGGCGACAGGAUUCUUUGUUCCCCAUGCAUCAUACACAUUACAGUUACAUAUAUACUUGUAUCUAAAUGGCUGGAAGUCGCAUGAUGUAUAUCUUUUUUUAGAAAAAGUAGCAUAGUGCUGUUUUCAUUGGUAAAGAAGGAGAAAGUCAAAUAUUACCUACAUCCAAGUCAAAUACUGAAAGUAUUAGCGUUUGGGGGCUGU